CUCUGACCUCCCCUCCUUUUUUCUUCAAGAAUAUUCCUCUUUUUCCCUAUAAAAAACCUCAAAACUUGGUCUUCAUGCUCAUUCUUAGCGAGACGACAUGAGGAAAACCAAAGAAUUUUCCGAAAAACUAAUUUGGAGAGGAACUUGGAGCACUAUCACUGACAUUAAAGGAAGAGUGAAGGAGCUUGGAGAGCUUUAAGCAGCAAAAAAGAGCUUAAAAAGCAUUGAAUUUAGCCCAAGAAAUAACCACACAGGUGUCAUAAGUCCCCACAACAGUGUGGGUGCUGCUAAUGUUAAUUGUUAUUCAUGAGUUAUUAGUGUAUUGAAAAAUUGCUAAAGAAGAGAAGGUGUAAAAAGUUGCUGAUGAACUCGCUUAGCGAGGCAGAUUGGCUAAGCGAGCCUCAUCUGCUUAGCGAGGCAGCUAGCUUGAUUAGCGGAUGCAAAACCCUAGAAGAGGAUAAGUUAGAGAUCAACAUGCUCAGUGUGCAGCCAGCCUGCCAAGCGAGGAUGUUGUCUCUUCUCGCGCUUAGCGUGACCAAGCUCACUUAGCGGAUUUUCACUUACUCUCGCUCAACGAGACAUGCUCGCUGAGUGAGCCUUCGUGUGCUGAGAAGUCCAAGAGCCUUUAAAACAUUGAGUUGGUGGGAAACCAAAGGUCACCAAGACUAGCCAGCCAUUUUGUUACAUGAAAACAAAGAGAAGAAGGCAAAGAGGCUGGAGAUAAGACAUUCUCCCUCAUCUUUUUCCAUUUUCUUUCACCAAAAAUAUUCCUUUUCUUGUUGUAUGAAGCUUUUCUUGUAAUGGAAGGCUAGAACUUCUUGUUGGGGAGUAGUCUACUGAAAAAUCUUGAUGUAAACUUCUAACUAUCUAUUUAAUGUUA